AGAGUUGUAGCUCAGUGGUAAAGUGCUUGCUUAGCAAGCACAAGGCCCUGGGUUUGAUCCCCAGCACUG
rnacentral:tRNA from 1 species